CUUGCAGCCGAGCGGUAUAGAUCUUUCGGGAUCUUGAGAGCGGCGUACGGGUGCGGAACACGUGUGCAACCUGCCUUUAUCUGGGGGAUAGCCUUUCGAAAGGAAGAUUAAUACCCCAUAAUAUUUUGAAUGGCAUCAUUUAAAAUUGAAAACUCCGGUGGAUAGAGAUGGGCACGCGCAAGAUUAGAUAGUUGGUGAGGUAACGGCUCACCAAGUCUGCGAUCUUUAGGGGGCUGAGAGGGUGAUCCCCCACACUGGUACUGAGACACGGACCAACUCUACGGGAGGCAGCAGUGAGGAAUAUUGGACAAUGGGUGAGAGCCUGAUCCAGCCAUCCCGCGUGAAGGACGACGGCCCUAUGGGUUGUAAACUUCUUUUGUAUAGGGAUAAACCUUUCCACGUGUGGGAAGCUGAAGGUACUAUACGAAUAAGCACCGGCUAACUCCGUGCCAGCAGCCGCGGUAAUACGGAGGGUGCAAGCGUUAUCCGGAUUUAUUGGGUUUAAAGGGUCCGUAGCGGAUCUGUAAGUCAGUGGUGAAAUCUCACAGCUUAACUGUGAAACUGCCAUUGAUACUGCAGGUCUUGAGUGUUAUUGAAGUAGCUGGAAUAAGUAGUGUAGCGGUGAAAUGCAUAGAUAUUACUUAGAACACCAAUUGCGAAGCAGGUUACUAAGCAACAACUGACGCUGAUGGACGAAAGCGUGGGGAGCGAACAGGAUUAGAUACCCUGGUAGUCCACGCCGUGAUGCUACUCGUUUUUGGGCUUUCGGGUUCAGAGACUAAGCGAAAGUGAUAAGUUAGCCACCUGGGGAGUACGUUCGCAAAUGAAACUCGAAUUGACGGGGGCCCGCACAAGCGGUGGAUUAUGUGGUUUAAUUCGAUGAUACGCGAGGAACUUACCGUUAUGGAAAUGACGGUUUAGAAUAACUUUUUCACUUUUUCAGGCUGCAUGCGUCAGCUCGCGUGUAUAAACGUCAUACUCUUGUGACUCACAGGGACGCAGUAGUAAU
rnacentral:rRNA from 1 species